rnacentral:rRNA from 1 species
UACGUAGGGUGCGAGCGUUAAUCGGAAUUACUGGGCGUAAAGCGUGCGCAGGCGGUUCGUUGUGUCGGUGGUGAAAUCCCCGGGCUUAACCUGGGAAUGGCCAUGGAAACUGGCGAACUGGAGUGCGGCAGAGGGGGGUGGAAUUCCGCGUGUAGCAGUGAAAUGCGUAGAGAUGCGGAGGAACACCGAUGGCGAAGGCAGCCCCCUGGGCUAGCACUGACGCUCAGGCACGAAAGCGAGGGGAGCAAACGGG